rnacentral:rRNA from 1 species
GAUGAACGCUGGCGGCGUGCCUAAUACAUGCAAGUCGAGCGAACAGACGAGGAGCUUGCUCCUUUGACGUUAGCGGCGGACGGGUGAGUAACACGUAGGUAACCUACCUAUAAGACUGGGAUAACUUCGGGAAACCGGAGCUAAUACCGGAUAAUAUUUCGAACCGCAUGGUUCAAUAGUGAAAGAUGGCUUUGCUAUCACUUAUAGAUGGACCUGCGCCGUAUUAGCUAGUUGGUAAGGUAACGGCUUACCAAGGCAACGAUGCGUAGCCGACCUGAGAGGGUGAUCGGCCACACUGGAACUGAGACACGGUCCAGACUCCUACGGGAGGCAGCAGUAGGGAAUCUUCCGCAAUGGGCGAAAGCCUGACGGAGCAACGCCGCGUGAGUGAUGAAGGUCUUCGGAUCGUAAAACUCUGUUAUUAGGGAAGAACAAACGUGUAAGUAACUGUGCACGUCUUGACGGUACCUAAUCAGAAAGCCACGGCUAACUACGUG